UCCGGGUUGGACCCGGCGGUCCCGCCAGACAUCGUAACUGGCAGCGAGGGUUGCGCUCGUUGCGGGACUUAACCCAACACCUCACGGCACGAGCUGACGACAGCCAUGCAGCAUCUGUGCGCGCUCCCUUGCGGGUCCUCCCCCUUUCGGGGUCGUACCACGCGCAUGUCAAGCCCAGGUAAGGUUCUUCGCGUUGCAUCGAAUUAAACGAUGAGUACUAGGUGUCGGGGGUCGAUACCCCCGACACCUAGCACCCAACGUUUACGGCGUGGACUAC
rnacentral:misc_RNA from 1 species